UUGUUGCUGAUGUAGAGUUUUGUAACGGUGGACUCUACAGUCCAUGACAGAAACAAGUAGGACAGAAAAUUCCAUCCCCAUCGGAAAGAAAUGGGGAGGUUUGCAUUUUAAGGAGCAGUACAUAUUGGCAGCCAUGUAGUUUUGUAGUUGCUUCGAAGAAUUUUUUUCCUUGUCUGGUGAUUGGUUGGACUUUGAACACCUCCUAUCCUUACAACCAUGGAAGACUUGCAGAAACAAAAACGAACAUAUUUGCAACAAGUAUUUUUUGUGACCAUGAAACCAAAAAUUGUUUAUUUUUUAAAGCACCUAUAUUCAGAAGACAUCUAGCGGAGGAAUUGCUUGUUACUGAGUACUCUACUGAACUGUCAAUUUCUUCGUUGUUAGGGGGCUACAUCGAGUUUGGUUGCCUCGCGAAUUGGAAAUGUUUUGCCGAAUCCCAGGAUAUCGCCAUAUUGUCACAAUCGUUUCUCUCCUUAGAAUGGUUACCAAUGUGCAGUUGAAUUCUAAAAGGUUUUGUUUGGUGUGCUGUAUUAAAGAACUGAUGUUGGCACCAGCCUGGUGGAAAAAAGUCAUUUCCAACGUGGGUACAGGGAAACUUGGAUUUAUUUGGUGAUAAAGAGUUGGAUGGUUUUCCUAAAGUCAGUUUGAAAUAACCUUUCAAAGCCUAAACUCAUCUUCGUAGAAAGGUACUUGUGGAAAGUAACACUGGAUCUGUAAAUGUUCUUGGUUUGGGGCAAGACAUUGAAUAAACUGAUUAUUGG